CUUGUUAAAAUAAAGUUAAAGACAUUUAACAAACAGAAGAGUUCAUUAGUUUUUCCAUUAAAAACACUUUCUUAAAAUACUUAUGUAUUUAUAUCAUUUGGAAAGUGACAUGAAAUAUUGCUAAAGAGUGAUGCAUACAGUGUUUGAGCAGUCUGUCUAGGAAUAGAACAACAACUGAAGUUGAUGGAAGAUACUGCAGAGUUUGGCAGGGAAAUAAUCCAACAGCAAAGCGGCUCUUUAAGCGCAUUUACCUAGAGGACUUACAGGGCUACAAAUUCAUGAGCACAUGUGAGCAGUAUACAAUGUACCUCAUACCAAAAAGGACCCGGAG